rnacentral:rRNA from 1 species
CCUACGGGAGGCAGCAGUGAGGAAUAUUGGUCAAUGGACGAGAGUCUGAACCAGCCAAGUAGCGUGAAGGAUGACUGCCCUAUGGGUUGUAAACUUCUUUUAUAUGGGAAUAAAACGUUCCACGUGUGGGAUUUUGUAUGUACCAUAUGAAUAAGGAUCGGCUAACUCCGUGCCAGCAGCCGCGGUAAUACGGAGGAUCCGAGCGUUAUCCGGGUUUAUUGGGUUUAAAGGGAGCGUAGGUGGAUUGUUAAGUCAGUUGUGAAAGUUUGCGGCUCAACCGUAAAAUUGCAGUUGAAACUGGCAGUCUUGAGUACAGUAGAGGUGGGCGGAAUGCGUGGUGUAGCGGUGAAAUGCUUAGAUAUCACGAAGAACUCCGAUUGCGAAGGCAGUUCACUGGACUGCAACUGACACUGAGGCUCGAAAGUGUGGGUAUCAAACAGGAUUAGAUACCCUUGUAGUC